UACAGAGGGGGCAAGCGUUGUUCGGAAUUACUGGGCGUAAAGGGCGCGUAGGCGGCCUGCUAAGUCGAACGUGAAAUCCCCGGGCUCAACUCGGGAACUGCGUCCGAUACUGGUAGGCUUGAAUUCGGGAGAGGGAUGCGGAAUUCCAGGUGUAGCGGUGAAAUGCGUAGAUAUCUGGAGGAACACCGGUGGCGAAGGCGGCAUCCUGGACCGACAUUGACGCUGAGGCGCGAAAGCCAGGGGAGCAAACGGG
rnacentral:rRNA from 1 species